GACAGAGGGUGCAAACGUUGUUCGGAAUUACUGGGCGUAAAGCGCGUGUAGGCGGCCAUGCAAGUCGGAUGUGAAAGCCCUCGGCUCAACCGGGGAAGUGCACUCGAAACUGCAAGGCUAGAGUCUCGGAGAGGAUCGUGGAAUUCUCGGUGUAGAGGUGAAAUUCGUAGAUAUCGAGAGGAACACCUGAGGCGAAGGCGGGUUGCUAGGCUGACACUGACGCUGAGGCGCGAAAGCUAGGGUAGCAAACGGG
rnacentral:rRNA from 1 species